CCGAAAUCAUUGAAAAAUUUGACGUAAUAGACCAGUUUUUGAGAUGUGGUUUGAAGACAGUUAUUAACCUCCAGUGCCCUGGCGAACAUGCCAGCUGUGGAAACCCACUGGAUCCCGAGAGCGGCUUCACUUACCGACCGGAGACAUUCAUGGAGGCUGGCAGUGAGUGACGCUUUCUUUUUGUACAUCGUCUGAUUCUGCCUAACUUUCAUAUAUUUCUACAACUUUAGAUGGAAUGACUAUGGUGUGGCGUCUCUCACAUCCAUCUUGGAUAUGGUGAAAGUCAUGUGUUUUGCCAUCCAAGAAGGCAAGAUGGCUGUUCACUGUCAUGCAGGGCUUGGCAGAACAGGUACAGUUCUGUUUUAUAUGUUAAAAUAUAUUUAUAACUUAAUAAACAUACCUGAUAUAUAGGUUGCUGGGUUGAUUCUUACAAGCAGCCAUGAUCUAUUAUUAUUGUGUCCUCAAGCAGCACACUUAACCCGAGGUUACUCCAGAGGGAUUUUCUGGAUAAUAAUGCUGCCGUAAGUCGCUUUAGUUAAAGGGGUCAUGAACUGAGAAACCAAAAUUCUCUUGAU